AUGACUGACCUGAGAGCAGAGGAUGCUGGGAAAUACUGGUGUUUAGUGAAAGACACGUUUAACGUUUCCAUUGAGCUCAUGAUCGUCAUGAAGAAAGUCGUCACUCGUGAAGCGUCUGUCGGAGGAUCAGUGUCCAUCAGCUGUAAAUACUUCAGGAAUCAAACACUGAGGUUUUUCUGCAGAGGAGAUCAGCCUAAUAUCUGCUUCAUAGACGGAGUUCGUGUUUCAUCAAAUAACAGAAUAAACAGCAGAUUCUCUCUGACUGAAGAAACCUCUGCUGGAGUCUUUACUGUGAACAUCAGCGAUCUGAGAGCAGAGGAUUCUGGGAAAUACUGGUGUGCAGAGGAGAGUUCUGGAUCCUUCAUCUUCACUGAGGUUCAGCUACAUGUGACCACAGGUUUCUUCUGUCAGAAGCAUGAAGUCUCUCAGUGAUGCAAUACAGUGCCCUUCAGUCAGGACGAGGUUCAUUCUGAUUACAGCAGUGAACACAUAAUGCCAAACUAACAUUACUGUGUAAUAUUUUUGCUUAUGUUGUUGUUUUCAUCUUCUCAGCGGUGCCAUUUCUUGCUAUUCUAUAAAUAUCUGGUGUCAGAAAUCAACAACUACUUUUUGGAUUUAAAAAAUAAAAAAAAGAAAAUAAAAAAAACUUUGAAACAUAAUUCAGUUUUAUCGAGUUACUGACCAUCUGGUGAUAUCUAUAGGUCACUGCUGGGAGAGAUGCUGAAAUAUAUUGUGUGUGAUUUGGUUGUACAGCUUUCUAGAAAACCUUUUCCUUCAUGUGCUGAAAUAUGCGAGCAGGCUUCAAUGUUUAAGUGUAUUAUUUCGCUAACUUUUCUUGAUUUGAUAAGCAUCAGUCUGCCAGAACAGAAACUUAUGAAAAAUCGGUCAUUAAGGUAAUUUUUCUUAGUUAAAGUACUUGAUGUCAUACAGGUCAGAUUAUUUUAUUUUACCAGAAAGUACCACUGAAAUUACAAAAUCUCUUCAAUGGAGGAAGAAAAAUGGUUUCAAUGUAAAGAAAACAAUUUGAACUCCAAAAUAUGGUUGUUAUUAUUCAUAAGUAAAUAUAUAUAUAUAUAUAUAUAUAUAUAUAUAUAUAUAUAUAUAUAUAUAUAUAUAUAUAUAUAUAUAUAUUUCAAAUAUUAUAAUAACCACACACACACACACACACACAAAAUGCUUUGUUGUGUAUUAGUCUAUAUAUUUUAAAUGUUGGCAGAAGCUAUCCUUUCUGCAAAUAACACAAAACAACAGGAAAUGCUGUAUUUCUUUUAUAGUGAUUUAUUAACAGUUGAACUGGUUUUUAAUGGUUGGUUGUAUUGUUUAUUAAAUAUGAUUUCCCAUAUGAACGCGCAUGUUUUGCUUCUUUACGUAGGUUAAAGGCCUAGCUGCUGUUUUUUAUUCUGACAAAUAGCUAAAAAUGGUAAAAUGCUGGCCGCGGCCGCCCUUUCAUCUAAACGGCCCUAAACCGUUUCCCAUUCAUAAUGGGAGUACAAACCACUACGGAUGCUAUAUAUUUUCGGCCGCUAGGGCUAUCGUGUCUUUUACAUUUUCAACACUUCAAGCUAAAUUAUGAAUGGGUUUAACAAUUGUUUUAAUUUUUGUAGUGAGAUUACAUCUAUUCCACAGUUCAAAACUGAAUUGUUUUGCCACAAACAUG
ensembl:lncRNA